rnacentral:rRNA from 1 species
CUCAGUUCGGAUUGGAGUCUGCAACCCGACUCCAUGAAGCUGGAUUCGCUAGUAAUCGCGCAUCAGCCACGGCGCGGUGAAUACGUUCCCGGGCCUUGUACACACCGCCCGUCAAGCCAUGGAAGCCGGGGGUGCCUGAAGUGCGCUGCCGCAAGGAGCGCCCUAGGGUAAAACCGGUGACUGGGGCUAAGUCGUAACAAGGUAAC